rnacentral:rRNA from 1 species
UACGUAGGGGGCGAGCGUUGUCCGGAUUUAUUGGGCGUAAAGAGCUCGUAGGCGGCUUGGCAAGUCGGGUGUGAAACCUCCAGGCUCAACCUGGAGACGCCACUCGAUACUGCCAUGGCUAGAGUCCGGUAGGGGACCACGGAAUUCCUGGUGUAGCGGUGAAAUGCGCAGAUAUCAGGAGGAACACCGGUGGCGAAGGCGGUGGUCUGGGCCGGCACUGACGCUGAGGCGCGAAGGCCAGGGGAGCAAACGGG